UAAUACGAGGGGUGCAAGCGUUGCUCGGAAUUAUUGGGCGUAAAGGGCAAGUAGGUGGUCUUAUUUGUCUGGGGUGAAAGCCUCGAGCUUAACUCGAGAAGUGCCCCAGAAACGGUGAGACUUGAGUACUGGAGAGGGUCGUGGAAUUCCCGGUGUAGCGGUGAAAUGCGUAGAGAUCGGGAGGAACACCAGAGGCGAAGGCGGCGACCUGGACAGUCACUGACACUAAACUGCGAAAGCGUGGGUAGCAAACAGGAUUAGAUACCCUGGUAGUCCACGCUGUAAACGAUGGGAACUAGGCUUGGCGGGAUUUGACCCCUGCCGAGCCGGAGCUAACGCGAUAAGUUCCCCGCCUGGGAAGUACGGUCGCAAGACUA
rnacentral:rRNA from 1 species